GACGAACCGUGCAAACGUUGUUCGGAAUCACUGGGCAUAAAGGGCGCGUAGGCGGCCCGACCAGUCUGCGGUGAAAGCCCCCGCUCAACGGGGAAGGGCCGUGGAUACUGUCGGGCUCGAGGGAGACGAGGGCAGGUGGAACGUUCCGGUGGAGCGGUGAAAUGCGUUGAGAUCGGAAGGAACUCCGGUGGCGAAAGCGGCCUGCUGGAUCUCUACUGGACGCUGAGGCGCGAAAAGCCAGGGGAGCAAACGGG
rnacentral:rRNA from 1 species